CCCUUAGAUGUUCUGGGCUGCACGCGCGCUACGCUGAUGCAUCCAACAAGUUUUUUCCUUGUUCGAGAGGACUAGGUAAUCUUAUGAGAAUGCAUCGUGAUGGGGAUAGAUUAUUGCAAUUAUUAAUCUUCAACGAGGAAUUCCUAGUAAGCGCGAGUCAUCAGCUCGUGCUGAUUACGUCCCUGCCCUUUGUACACACCGCCCGUCGCUGCAACUGAUUGGGUGACCUGGUGAACAUCUUGGACCGGCCCACUCAAUUUCGAGAGGACUGGAAAAGGCCGUAAAUCAGGUACAUCUAGAAAUUGCAAAAGUCGUAACA
rnacentral:rRNA from 1 species